rnacentral:ncRNA from 1 species
AAAAGACUUGGUUCUGAUCUACUAUAACAAUACUAGUAAAUAAUUACACAUGGUUUCUGUUGACUGUGGUGAGGGGGUUACGAAAUAGAUUAAAGAUUCUAUUCUUUGCUUCUAGUUUAAGGCCCUGAGUGUUAUAAAGACAUGAUACUCAAUAAAUUUCACUAACACCAGUGUUGAAUUUUAAUAUAUGUAUGUCAGUGCGCAUUAGUUUAGCUAAGUAGGUCCGGUUAACUGGGUGCCAGCAGCCGCGGUUACACCUAGGGACCAAGUUGUUACCUUAGGUAAAAAAGAUAGUUAAAUUUACGUUAUAUUUCCACACAAGAGUAAUUAUUAAGGUAAAAUUUUAAAAUUACUUUUAGUUCGAAUGGAGAUCUUGAGGUAUUGACGCUAUGAAAUUUAAAAGGGAAACUGGGAUUAGAUACCCCACUAUUUUUAAAUAUAAACUGGUUAUAUAAGCCUACCAGAGCACUAUGAACCGUUCGUUUAAAACUCAAAGGACUUGGCGGUGCCUUAGACCUCUUAGGGGAACCUGUUUCGUAAUCGACAGUCCACGUCAGACCUCACCUUUCUUAGUAUUCAGUAUGUAUACCGUCGUCGUCAGGUAACUUUUAAGAAAUUAAACGUUAGCAAUGAAGUUACCAUAAACUUCUACGUCAGAUCAAGGUGCAGCUCAUAAAAAGGAGAGAAUGGGUUACAAUUAAAAUUUAUAACUACGGAGCAUAUAAGUUGCAAUAAUUAUGUGAAGGAGGACUUGAAAGUAAAGGAUUGAAACAUAAAAAUAAAAAUUUCUUGAAUUUAUGGCUCUGAGGCGUGCACACAUCGCCCGUCGCUCUCGUUGAAAAAUGAGAUAAGUCGUAACAUAGUAGAGGUAACGGAAGUUGCCCCUAGUUAGCA